AAUACGGCCACCGGUGCUAAACGCGCAUUCCGACACCACACUAGAAAUUGGAAUUGCCAACACAUCACGAGCCAACUCCGAAAGAAUAGGAAAUCUAGGAGCAUGUGUUUUCCAUCAAUUUAAGAUAUCAAAUUCUUCACUAAAAGGCUCUUGUUCUUCACUAAUGUAUUUAUCCAACUCCGAUUUAGCACCCCCACUUCCAUUGUCUUCCUUUUGUUUCUUCAAGUGAAGCUUUUUCCUUAUUAAAGUUGCACUUAUAACACUCCCACUAGAUGUAUUAGAUGUGUUGUUAGAUAAAGUAGAACUAGAUGGAGAUUGAGGACAAGAUUCGGUUGAAUACUUUUUUAGAUACUCUCCAAACAAAGAAUUCAUAUAAGCAUACACCUCAGCAUUUAUUUUCUUCCCUUUUUCCUCCCCAAAAAGUUCUUCAAGUGCUCCCUCAACAUAUUCAAAUUUGUUACGUGCAUCCAAGAUGGAAGCAAUAAAAAUUAUUCUAUUCAUCUUUUCAGGCUCACCCCAAUACUUCUUGAACUUUUCUUGCAUUCGCUCAGCCAUUUUUCUCAAAUGCUCAUCCUCACUAACUAAACACAUUUUCAAAUGACAAUAAAGUUCAGAUACAUCCUUAAAAUGAGAAUUACAAGUGACAUAACAUGAACCUGAAACCUUUUUAGUUAGCUCAUGAAAUCUUGCAAGAAACUCUAUCACAUUCCUCACAUUCACCCAAUCAUCAGAUUCAAGAGGACCUACACUACUACCAUCUUCACAAAGACUAGAACAUUUAUAAGCAGAAAAUCCAUCACCAAAAAGAUGCAACUUGUCAAAGGCCUUUUCAAAGUGUUGUACCAUAUCCAACAUCAAAUAUGUGGAAUUCCACAUAGUAGGAACAUCCAAACACAACGUUUUGGUACAUUCUACCUUUACAUGUGCACAACACUAUUUAAACUUUAAGGUCCUUGCAGGCGAAGAUCUCACAUACCUCACAAUAUUUCUAACACGUGUCACGGAAGCAUCAAGUUCUUUCAAACCAUCUUGCACAAUUAGAUUUAGUAUAUGAGCCAUGCAUCUCACAUGAAGAUGUUUACCACACAUCAUAUUAGUUUUUCACAUAUCUAAUUAUUUAGACAAUUCUUUGAGUGUAACAUCAUUUGAAGAAGCAUUGUCCACGGUUAUAGUGAAAAUCUUGUCUAAUUUCCAUUCAAGCAAACAAUCCCUAAUAGAUUUAGCCAUCUCUUCACCCUUAUGACUAGUGAUAGGGCAAAACUUUAGUAUUCUUUUAUGCAACUUCCAAUCCCUGUCAAUGAAGUGGGCUGUCAAACACAUAUAAUUUAUUCUUUGUAAUGAAGUCCAUGUGUCUGUUGUGAGGCAAAUUUUUGGUUGUGCUUCUCUAAAAGAACUUCUUAGAUUUUGAUUCAAUUCACCGUAAACUUCAUAACAAUCCCUUGUUAUUGUUCUACGAGAAGGAAGACAAAAUAGUGGUUGAGUUUUUCUCAUAAACUUCAUAAAGCCUUCAUUUUCUACAAAGCUAAAUGGUAGUUCAUCAAUAACUAUCAUCUCAAUUAAGGCCCUCCUAACCACUUUUUUAUCAAAUUUCCAAAUUGAUCCUUCAUUAUUUUGGCAAGAUUGAAAAUUUAGCAAUGUUUGACUAUUAUCUUUAGCAAUGUCCAUUCUUAGAUGAAUUAGCAGCAUAAGCUUGUUUACAAUAUCGACACUGUGCUUUCCCAACCCCAUUAACCUCAAAUUUAUCAAAAUGGUUCCAAACAUCAGACCUAGGUUGCAUGGCUUUCCUUUUCUUAGAAUCUUGAGUAUCAAUGGUGUUGGUGUUACUAUCUACCGUAAUAGGUAAACUUUCACUUGAACCAAUAUCACUUACUCUACUUGUAUCUGCCAUCUAUACAAAAUUAAACAAAUAUAAACAUAAAUUAACAAUCAAUAAAUUAAGAAUCACUUACAAACUCAUGUUUUGCACAUUAGUAACAUAAGAUAUAGUACCACUAAUCUUAGUUUUCACAAAAGGAUUCACUUUCCUAUCAGAAAAACCAUCCAAACAAGAAUUUGCAUCCAACCAUUCCAUAGAAUUUUAAGUCCUAUGCUGAUUUUUACAUCAGUGUACUGUAAUAUCCUUACAUUACCUAUAAAUAUGAAGAUCAAAUGGAACAACAACUAAUUUCCUAAGUUUCAACACUGAAAUUCUUUAGUGCAACUUGAGGAGGAUGUGUUUUGUCCUUGAACUGAAUCAAAGCACCAAAAAUGAAACAAAAUGGAAAUAAAAAACCAAGAAAAUAAAUCCAUGAUAUACCCUUUUGGAUUAAAAAAAAAGAAAAAACAUCAAUAGCAAGUCAGCAACAAUAAGAUUAAUAAGACUAAACAAGAAUGUUUUUAAGAAAAAUGAAGUUUGUAGAGUUUCUUUUAUUGUUUGGCCAAAAUGGAGUAUGGUACCUUGUGACUUUUACACAACGGAGAAUUUUCUAUGUAUCUUCCUUCAACUGAUUGAAGACCAUUAGUGGUAGAAACAAGAAUCAGCCAUAGUAAUUGAGUGUAUAUGAGAAAUCGCAAGUUCGCAAGUUCACUAGAAAGUAGAAAUCACUAGAAAGUAGAAACAUACCUUUGAAAAUUGAAACUAUCUCAAGUUUGCAACAACAGCAUCUUCGUUUGCCCAGAAUUUGUGAUGACUGAGGAGUGAGGUUCGCCUAAUCGAAGCUCGGAAAGACGAAAAUCACCUAAUCGGACUGAGGAAUUGAGGAAUGGAGCAUCUUCGUCUCUUCGACUCUUCGUUUGCUACUCUGUCUAAUAGCCUAACGCCCUAACCUAAUGAAUGAUGAAAAAUUAGCUUUAGACAGGGUGGGCUGGGGC
rnacentral:lncRNA from 1 species